rnacentral:tRNA from 1 species
GGAGUUGUGCCUGAAAUAAAGGACCACUUUGAUAGAGUGAACUAUGAAGGUUAAACUCCCUCCAACUCCU